AUUGAACGCUGGCGGGAUGCUUUACACAUGCAAGUCGAACGGCAGCACGGACUUCGGUCUGGUGGCGAGUGGCGAACGGGUGAGUAAUGUAUCGGAACGUGCCCAGUCGUGGGGGAUAACGUAGUGAAAAUUACGCUAAUACCGCAUACGAUCUAUGGAUGAAAGCGGGGGAUCGCAAGACCUCGCGCGAUUGGAGCGGCCGAUAUCAGAUUAGGUAGUUGGUGGGGUAAAGGCCCACCAAGCCAACGAUCUGUAGCUGGUCUGAGAGGACGACCAGCCACACUGGAACUGAGACACGGCCCAGACUCCUACGGGAGGCAGCAGUGGGGAAUGUUGGACAAUGGGCGAAAGCCUGAUCCAGCCAUUCCGCGUGCAGGAUGAAGGCCCUCGGGUUGUAAAGCUCUUUCGCAAGGAAAGAAAACUUAUCCCCUAAUACGGGAUGAGGAUGACGGUACCUUGAUAAGAAGCACCGGCUAACUACGUGCCAGCAGCCGCGGUAA
rnacentral:rRNA from 1 species